rnacentral:lncRNA from 1 species
AAGAACAGAGGACAGGUACAUUACAGUGGCAUAAUAAUGGAAUGGAAGGUGAAAAGCAUCUUCUUGGAUUGGAGCAUUGCGGUGGUUGGUCGCUGGAAGUGAAGGCCGUGUGAGGAAGAGCUCUGGCGCAGUGGUUUAGUUAGUGGAGAAAUCUUCUUCUCUCUAAUUAUACCAUUGUCUUCUUUUAAUUUUUUUGAUUUUUUUUUUGUUAUGAUUGGAUGGUUUUAUGGUUUUUGUUUGAUAAAUUAAGAUAGUCUUGUUAUGGAAAUUAAUUUGAAAAGGAAAAAAGAGGUAGGUAAUGAGGAAGAUGAAUGUAUUGUGGGAAGGGUUGUGAAGAUUUGGGACUGUUGUUGGUUGCUGACUCUCUGCAUUUUCUCUUCUUUUUGUAUCCUCUCUGUUUUACGGUUCUCCCUUUUAAG